AUGAGGCCUGACAGUCACUUCUGCCAAACCACAACAGAUGUUCAUAUUCCUGCCAGCAAAAUCAGGAUACUUUUAAUAACAUGUGAGAAGUUAUCAGCUACAAUAGCCUUUGCAUGUGAAGGACGACUGACUCAAAUAAAUCCUCUCCAGGAAAGCCUUUCAGUUACUUAUGGUAAAUCAUUAAAUGCAACAAGGAACUGGGACAGUGAUGAGAGUCUUAGUUGCUUCUUAUCUUUUUCAAAAUGACCACAUAUUCAUGAGACUUACACUGGAUUGUCUUAAUUCAGAUCUUUGACUCCUAGGUUACUCUACACCUCUGUGGCUCACAUAUGAGAAGCAUUUAUUGGCAAUAAAGGUAAAAAUACACUUCAACUUU
rnacentral:lncRNA from 1 species